rnacentral:rRNA from 1 species
UACACGUGGGUAACCUGCCUGUAAGACUGGGAUAACUCCGGGAAACCGGGGCUAAUACCGGAUGCUUGAUUGAACCGCAUGGUUCAAUUAUAAAAGGUGGCUUUUAGCUACCACUUACAGAUGGACCCGCGGCGCAUUAGCUAGUUGGUGAGGUAACGGCUCACCAAGGCGACGAUGCGUAGCCGACCUGAGAGGGUGAUCGGCCACACUGGGACUGAGACACGGCCCAGACUCCUACGGGAGGCAGCAGUAGGGAAUCUUCCGCAAUGGACGAAAGUCUGACGGAGCAACGCCGCGUGAGUGAUGAAGGUUUUCGGAUCGUAAAACUCUGUUGUUAGGGAAGAACAAGUACCGUUCGAAUAGGGCGGUACCUUGACGGUACCUAACCAGAAAGCCACGGCUAACUACGUGCCAGCAGCCGCGGUAAUACGUAGGUGGCAAGCGUUGUCCGGAAUUAUUGGGCGUAAAGCGCGCGCAGGCGGUUUCUUAAGUCUGAUGUGAAAGCCCCCGGCUCAACCGGGGAGGGUCAUUGGAAACUGGGGAACUUGAGUGCAGAAGAGGAGAGUGGAAUUCCACGUGUAGCGGUGAAAUGCGUAGAGAUGUGGAGGAACACCAGUGGCGAAGGCGACUCUCUGGUCUGUAACUGACGCUGAGGCGCGAAAGCGUGGGGAGCGAACAGGAUUAGAUACCCUGGUAGUCCACGCCGUAAACGAUGAGUGCUAAGUGUUAGAGGGUUUCCGCCCUUUAGUGCUGCAGCAAACGCAUUAAGCACUCCGCCUGGGGAGUACGGUCGCAAGACUGAAACUCAAAGGAAUUGACGGGGGCCCGCACAAGCGGUGGAGCAUGUGGUUUAAUUCGAAGCAACGCGAAGAACCUUACCAGGUCUUGACAUCCUCUGACAACCCUAGAGAUAGGGCUUCCCCUUCGGGGGCAGAGUGACAGGUGGUGCAUGGUUGUCGUCAGCUCGUGUCGUGAGAUGUUGGGUUAAGUCCCGCAACGAGCGCAACCCUUGAUCUUAGUUGCCAGCAUUCAGUUGGGCACUCUAAGGUGACUGCCGGUGACAAACCGGAGGAAGGUGGGGAUGACGUCAAAUCAUCAUGCCCCUUAUGACCUGGGCUACACACGUGCUACAAUGGGCAGAACAAAGGGCAGCGAAGCCGCGAGGCUAAGCCAAUCCCACAAAUCUGUUCUCAGUUCGGAUCGCAGUCUGCAACUCGACUGCGUGAAGCUGGAAUCGCU